UCCCUUGGAUCAUUUCUGUGGCCCUCCUCUGGACACUCUCCAACAGCCCCAUAUCUCUCCUGUGCUGAGGACUCCCCAUCCGGAUGUAGACCUGUCACUCAGGUGAGGUCUCACGGCAGAGGAGCAGAUCCCCUCGCCCUGCUGGCUGUGCUGCUUUGGAUGCAGCCAAGAUAGAGCUGGCUUCCUGGGCUGCGAGGCCACAGUGCUGCCUCACGUCCAGCUGCUAUCUACCAGGACCCCCAGAUCCCUUUCAGCCCGUGGGAUUGGAAACCGGCAAUACAAAUGGGAUGAGCCGGCAUCCGCUGUCCCGAGCCUCGUGCACUUUUUCCUGAACGACAGGCCCCUGGGAACGUGCUUUUGAACCACAGGGACCGGCCUGCUCCUCACCAGGGCCUUUCACGUGGGGCGGCAGUCUGCGUUCGCGGCGGUGGCCGCAAUGGGGCCGAGCUGGCGGGGAGCCACGCAGGACUCACACCAGCAGGAACUGGUGGUGCUGGCUCUUCUCAAGGUGCAGCGAUGCCCUUUGCCAGCACAGCCAUGUGGCUGGACAGCUUCUGCUCCCUGCCCCACUGCAGGAUGUGAAGGAAGGCAGUUCCUUGGCAGCGCUGGUGCAGACAAACAGCUUUUUGUUGAAGCAGAACCCGUCCCUUUAGCUCUUCCACCCCUCCCUGCCAUGGCUGUCAGCACUCCAGCUUCGUUUUCCUCUCCUCUUUUCAGCUUUUUUCUGAUUCCACUUCAUGUUUUCCAUCUGUAUUUUCUCUGACAGUACUUGCUGUCCAGUGUGGGUCUAAUCCUUAAAUAUCACAAGGUCUUGGCCAGCUGCUAUAAAGUUCCUCUGAAAUCCUGGUUUAAAAGAAGCUUUGAAGCUCAUGUCAUGGUCUAUUUCUCGUUAUUUGCCUUUCACUGCUACCUGGCAAACUUCUGACCACCAACCAAAGCAAGCUCCAAAUAAAAACUACUU